rnacentral:rRNA from 1 species
AGAGUUUGAUCCUGGCUCAGAACGAACGUUGGCGGCGUGGAUUAGGCAUGCAAGUCGAGGGAAUCCCAGCAAUGGGGGAACCGGCGUAAGGGGCAGUAAGGCGUGGGUACCUACCCUGGGGUUCGGGAUAGCCGUCCGAGAGGGCGGGUAAUACCGGAUGAUCUCGGGAGAGCAAAGAUUUAUCGCCCUGGGAGGGGCCCACGUGAUAUUAGCUAGUUGGCGGGGUAACGGCCCACCAAGGCGGAGAUGUCUAGCGGGUGUGAGAGCACGACCCGCGCCACUGGCACUGAGACACUGGCCAGACACCUACGGGUGGCUGCAGUCGAGGAUCUUCGGCAAUGUGCGCAAGCACGGCCGAGCGACGCCGCGUGGGCGACGAAGGCCUUCGGGUUGUAAAGCCCUGUCGAGGGGGAGAAAGGGGCAACCUUGAUCUAUCCCUGGAGGAAGCACGGGCUAAGUUCGCGCCAGCAGCCGCGGUAAUAC